GCCUCUAUCCCGGAAGUUGUGCCCCGCGCCCGUUGGCGUGCGGCGCUGCUGUGCUGUCGGUGGUUUGCGCUGUCGGGCCGGCUGGCGAGCUCCUCACCAUGCCUUUGGCCAGAGAUUUACUACACCCUUCCUUGGAAGAGGAAAAGAAAAAACAUAAGAAGAAACGGCUAGUUCAAAGUCCAAAUUCUUAUUUUAUGGAUGUAAAAUGUCCAGGUUGCUACAAGAUUACCACAGUUUUCAGCCAUGCUCAGACAGUGGUUCUCUGUGUAGGUUGUUCAACAGUUUUGUGCCAGCCUACAGGAGGAAAGGCCAGACUCACAGAAGGUUGCUCAUUUAGAAGAAAGCAACACUAAUGAUCUGUACAACUUCCUGAAUUUGUUUUUUCACAGAAAGCCUUAUCAGAAGUUCAGUAAUUGUAAUGAAUAUACCAAGAUAAUGUGAUUACGCUUGACUUUGUAAGGUGCACAGCACUGAGCUCCUAUUUUGAUGGCAAUUUUUCAAUAAAGUUUUGAUUAUGGACAAGUC